GGUUCCAUAAACCAAAUGCGGGGAGGCAAAAAUUUCUUUCUCCCGCGCGAAGGCUCCUAUUGACAAGGCAGAAGUCUUUCCAGCAGAGAAUCUUGCAGAGGAAGAGGAAUUUUGAAGAAGAGAGAAAGGUUCACGAGCAAAAUAAAUUGCAGAAAGGUUUACGAUCAAGCGAUUGACUCUUCACAUCUUCUCCAAGCCAAGGGUUUCUACUCGUUUCAAAAGAGAGUGAAGGAGCUAAGAGGGAGCCGCACGGUUGAGUGAAAGAGCCAAGGGUUUCUGCUCGUUUCAAAAUCUCCGCUCAGGAUGUUGAGGAGAACAUCUGCACGUUUGUGAAGAAGGGUUUGGAUUCAAAUUCAGAGUUUGAGGGGAACAUCAAUGGUUGGGGAGAACAUCAGUGGUUGAGGAGAAACAGUACUGUAUUAUUAUUAGUAGUACUAGGCUACCAGCAUGCUCCAUGCCGAAUGCAGAUGCAGUACAGUCCAUUCCCAACUCCCAAGUCCCACCAGAAGAAGCCACUAGCGAGAGGCAAAUAAAUAGAGUGGCCGAAGCUAUGAACUGAUCAUAGACAGGAGUUCCUAGCCUUGGCCGACGGCAAAGCAUUCACAGAAAGUGAUAUUCUGUAUCUGUCAUCGAUGUCUCCAUGAUGGUCCUGUUAUGUACUAUGCUAUUUACAGGUGUUGGUAAUAGGGAUGGGAAUUUUCCUGUCCCCGUUGGAUACCCGGCUUCCCAACUCAAUGGGAUCAGAUAUGGAGAUUGCCUUGGCGGGGACGGGGAUUGAUAGUGAUACCCGACUGGGUAUGAGGAGUGAAUUCACUGCCCCACCCCAAGGGGAUUGGGGAUGGAGGGUCAUUUUUAUCCCCAACAGGGAUUGGGGUCGGGGGACAUGGAGUAUGGUUCCCGUCCUGUUGCCAUUCCUAGUUGGUGACAACCACCUUUGACCUUUGGAGAUACGCAGUUUGUAUGUGUCCUAUUUUAAAGUGUUAGGGACAAGUGGAAAAGGCCAUUGCCCAAUGCUGGUCCCAGCUAUAUUUAAGGACUUCAGAGGAAAGGCUUGGGUACAGACCUAACUUCCAGCAUUUUUAGCUAGUACAUGGCUGGUCAUAGAUUGGAGCUCUGUUUUCAGGGUUGUUAGCCUGAGAUUUUACCCUCACAUUAAGCAAUGAUCCCUGCUUAAAGAAAACUAUAUAAGUUAAAUGUUGGUUUAUAAGAUCUACUAUGGGAAGAUGAUGCAAUCAUGUUAUAAGGAAUAUCAAUUGGGCCUUAAAAUGUGUCUUAAGCAAUUUAUAAUGAUGAUGAUGACAGUAAUUACCAGCUAUUUGUUGAUUAGAGAAGCAGAUAAGGUUUUAUCCCUGUUACAUAGUUGGACUUGGGCAGUACCAUUCAUGAAACCCUGUAAUUGCACCCUGCCUACAAAUGUGAAAGAAAAGGAAGAAAGUUCUUCAAUAGAUGCAGACCUCAACUGUUGAACCUUCAAUAUAAAUAUUGGUACAAGGCUUGCUGGCUUCCCUUGCUUGCAAAACAAUAUGAGUCUUGGAUUUCAGAAGGCCCUUUGGUUGUGCCUCUUGAUUGUGAAUGGAUCUGGCACUGUCAUAGGCUCAACCCGGUCCAGUACAAAGCAGAUUGUAAGGAAUUUUAUGGGAGGAUCCUUGACAAUCGUAAUGUUGUAUCAACCAUUCAAGGUGCUUCCACAAAAAAGAAUUGAAGAAAAUUGGAACAGACUGUAUCCUGAAGAGCCAUACAAGCUUGACUUGGGCAUCUCUUUAUCAAAAAAUAUUGAUGAAAAGUUUUUAGAGGCUCUUAGAUGCACAAAAUAUGAUUUGAUUUCAGCUGUUAAAAGGCAGAGCCCUUUCUUUUACCAGCACACCCCUGGGUCAGAGAAGGGGGAGAUGCCUCAGAGAUCCCUGUGGAUAUAUCAGUGCUAUCUAAUAUGCGGCAAUUUGUGAAGUACAGUCGGUUGAAGCAGUUUGCACUAAGGGCCUUGGCUAGCACACUUGAUGAAGAGGAGCUUACUGAUCUUAAAGAUCAAUUCGAUGCUAUUGAUGUGGACAAGAAUGGUUCUAUUAUCUUGAAGAAAUGAG